rnacentral:rRNA from 1 species
AGAUACCCUGGUAGUCCACGCUGUAAACGAUGUCGAUUUGGAGUUUGGGGGCAUGACCCUUGGGCUCCGGAGCUAACGCGUUAAAUCGACCGCCUGGGGAGUACGGCCGCAAGGUUAAAACUCAAAUGAAUUGACGGGGGCCCGCACAAGCGGUGGAGCAUGUGGUUUAAUUCGAUGCAACGCGAAGAACCUUACCUGGUCUUGACAUCCAUAGAAUCUUUCAGAGAUGAGAGAGUGCCUUCGGGAGCUAUGAGACAGGUGCUGCAUGGCUGUCGUCAGCUCGUGUUGUGAAAUGUUGGGUUAAGUCCCGCAACGAGCGCAACCCCUAUCCUUUGUUGCCAGCACGUAAUGGUGGGAACUCAAAGGAGACUGCCGUUGAUAAAGCGGAGGAAGGUGGGGACGACGUCAAGUCAUCAUGGCCCUUACGACCAGGGCUACACACGUGCUACAAUGGCGUAUACAAAGGGAUGCGAAGGUGCGAACUGGAGCGGACCUCACAAAGUACGUCUAAGUCCGGAUUGGAGUCUGCAACUCGACUCCAUGAAGUCGGAAUCGCUAGUAAUCGUGAAUCAGAAUGUCACGGUGAAUACGUUCCCGGGCCUUGUACACACCGCCCGUCACACCAUGGGAGUGGGUUGCACCAGAAGUAGAUAGCUUAACCUUCGGGAGGGCGUUUACCACGGUGUGGUUCAUGACUGGGGUGAAGUCGUAACAAGGUAACCA